rnacentral:rRNA from 1 species
UACGAAGGGGGCUAGCGUUGCUCGGAAUGACUGGGCGUAAAGGGCGCGUAGGCGGGUCGUUUAGUUAGAGGUGAAAGCCCAGGGCUCAACCCUGGAAUAGCCUUUAAUACUGGCGGCCUUGAGUAUGGCAGAGGUGUGUGGAACUCCGAGUGUAGAGGUGAAAUUCGUAGAUAUUAGGAAGAACACCAGUGGCGAAGGCGACUUACUGGACUGUAACUGACGCUGAGGCAUGAAAGCGUGGGGAGCAAACAGG